rnacentral:rRNA from 1 species
GGCUCAGAACGAACGCUGGCGGCGUGGAUAAGACAUGCAAGUCGAGCGCUGAUUGCGGGGUAGCAAUAUUCCGCAGUUGGAGCGGCGCAAGGGUGCGUAACACGUGGGUAAUCUGCCAUGAAGUCUGGAAUAACUUGCUGAAAGGCGAGCUAAUGCCGGAUGUGAACAUCGGGCGGCAUCGUUUGAUGUUCAAAGUUGGGGACCGUAAGGCCUGACGCUUCAUGAUGAGCCCGCGGCCUAUCAGCUAGUUGGUGAGGUAACGGCUCACCAAGGCUAAGACGGGUAGCUGGUCUGAGAGGACGACCAGCCACACUGGAACUGAGACACGGUCCAGACACCUACGGGUGGCAGCAGUCGAGAAUUUUUCACAAUGGGCGAAAGCCUGAUGGAGCGACGCCGCGUGGGGGAUGAAUGGCUUCGGCCCGUAAACCCCUGUCAUUCGGGAUCAAUGCCUGCGGCCUAAUACGUUGCAGGUUGAUAGUACCGGAAGAGGAAGGGACGGCUAACUCUGUGCCAGCAGCCGCGGUAAUACAGAGGUCCCAAGCGUUGUUCGGAUUCACUGGGCGUAAAGGGUGCGUAGGUGGUCGGGUAAGUCUGAUGUGAAAUCUCGGAGCUCAACUCCGAAACGGCAUUGGAUACUAUUCGGCUUGAGGAUUGGAGGGGGGACUGGAAUUCUCGGUGUAGCAGUGAAAUGCGUAGAUAUCGAGAGGAACACCAGUGGCGAAGGCGAGUCCCUGGACAAUUCCUGACACUAAGGCACGAAAGCUAGGGGAGCAAACAGGAUUAGAUACCCUGGUAGUCCUAGCCGUAAACGGUGCACGUUUGCUGUAAAAGGAAUCGACCCCUUUUGUGGCGUAGCCAACGCGUUAAACGUGCCGCCUGGGAAGUA